AUUGAACGCUGGCGGCAUGCUUUACACAUGCAAGUCGAACGGCAGCGGGGUAGUGCUUGCACUACUGCCGGCGAGUGGCGAACGGGUGAGUAAUAUAUCGGAACGUACCGAGUAAUGGGGGAUAACCAAUCGAAAGAUUGGCUAAUACCGCAUACGUCCUGAGGGAGAAAGCGGGGGAUCGCAAGACCUCGCGUUAUUCGAGCGGCCGAUAACUGAUUAGCUAGUUGGUGGGGUAAAGGCCUACCAAGGCGACGAUCAGUAGCGGGUCUGAGAGGACGAUCCGCCACACUGGGACUGGGACACGGCCCAGACUCCUACGGGAGGCAGCAGUGGGGAAUUUUGGACAAUGGGGGCAACCCUGAUCCAGCCAUGCCGCGUGUAUGAAGAAGGCCUUCGGGUUGUAAAGUACUUUUGUUAGGGAAGAAAAGGGAAGUGCUAAUACCACUUUUUGCUGACGGUACCUAAAGAAUAAGCACCGGCUAACUACGUG
rnacentral:rRNA from 1 species